rnacentral:rRNA from 1 species
UCAUGGCUCAGGAUGAACGCUAGCGACAGGCUUAACACAUGCAAGUCGAGGGGCAGCAUAAAAGUAGCAAUACUUUGGUGGCGACCAGCGCACGGGUGAGUAACGCGUAUGCAACCUACCUAUCAGAGGGGGAUAACCCGGCGAAAGUCGGACUAAUACCGCAUAAAACAGGGGCACCGCAUGGUGAUAUUUGUUAAAGAUUAAUUGCUGAUAGAUGGGCAUGCGUUCCAUUAGGUAGUUGGUGAGGUAAUGGCUCACCAAGCCGACGAUGGAUAGGGGAACUGAGAGGUUGGUCCCCCACACUGGUACUGAGACACGGACCAGACUCCUACGGGAGGCAGCAGUGAGGAAUAUUGGUCAAUGGGCGAGAGCCUGAACCAGCCAAGUCGCGUGAAGGAAGAAGGAUCUAUGGUUCGUAAACUUCUUUUGCAGGGGAAUAAAGUGGAGGACGUGUCCUCUUUUGUAUGUACCCUGAGAAUAAGGAUCGGCUAACUCCGUGCCAGCAGCCGCGGUAAUACGGAGGAUCCGAGCGUUAUCCGGAUUUAUUGGGUUUAAAGGGUGCGUAGGUGGUUUAAUAAGUCAGCGGUGAAAGUUUGCAGCUUAACUGUAAAAAUGCCGUUGAAACUGUUAGACUUGAGUGUAAAUGAGGUAGGCGGAAUGCGUGGUGUAGCGGUGAAAUGCUUAGAUAUCACGCAGAACUCCGAUUGC